UGGGGAAUUUUGGACAAUGGGCGCAAGCCUGAUCCAGCCAUGCCGCGUGCAGGAUGAAGGCCUUCGGGUUGUAAACUGCUUUUGUACGGAACGAAAAGACUCUGGUUAAUACCUGGGGUCCAUGACGGUACCGUAAGAAUAAGCACCGGCUAACUACGUGCCAGCAGCCGCGGUAAUACGUAGGGUGCGAGCGUUAAUCGGAAUUACUGGGCGUAAAGCGUGCGCAGGCGGUUAUAUAAGACAGAUGUGAAAUCCCCGGGCUCAACCUGGGAACUGCAUUUGUGACUGUAUAGCUAGAGUACGGCAGAGGGGGAUGGAAUUCCGCGUGUAGCAGUGAAAUGCGUAGAUAUGCGGAGGAACACCGAUGGCGAAGGCAAUCCCCUGGGCCUGUACUGACGCUCAUGCACGAAAGCGUGGGGAGCAAACAGGAUUAGAUACCCGGGUAGUCCCUGAGCGGGCUGGCAAGGCGCAU
rnacentral:rRNA from 1 species